rnacentral:tRNA from 1 species
GAUAAGAUAAGCUAAACUAUAAGCUAUCGGGCUCAUAACCCGAUAAUGACUAAUGUCUCUUAUCA